rnacentral:lncRNA from 1 species
GGGGGGGAGCGAGCGCUCGCGGGCCCCGUGGUGGGUUCGGCUGCGCGGCGGGGCUGAGGCGGCCGCGAAGGUCCGAGCGCAGAAAGUGGACACUGGGUUCCUGAACCUCCUCACUGAAGACAGCCAGGCCUCAAGCACAGGGUAGAGUGGUGCUGCUUCUUGGAAAAAUUGAAAAAGCUCUCUGGACGACAGGGGCCCAAAGCUGAUGGCAGACAAUGUCAGCCACUAACAACAUAGCCCAGGCUCGGAAGCUGGUGGAGCAGCUCCGCAUCGAGGCCGGGAUCGAGCGCAUCAAGGUCUCCAAAGCCUCAUCUGAACUCAUGAGCUACUGUGAGCAGCACGCCCGGAAUGACCCCCUGCUCGUGGGAGUCCCUGCCUCCGAGAACCCCUUUAAGGACAAGAAGCCUUGUAUUAUCUUAUAGCUUUGUUUUCUUGCGCUCAACUCCUCCCCGACACCCAGCCUCCAGUCAGGGCGCCAUUCAGUACAGAGUCCAGCAAAACUCUUAAUUCCAAAAGAAAUGCAAAAAGUUGCCACUGCCCAGAUGGGUUAAGAUGGAUCCUCUGAUUUCAGAUGGAUUUUCAGACCCCGCAAUGCAGCCCCCUUAAGGGCCGGGCUUCUGCACCGCUUCCGAUUGGAAAUAACUGAAAUGCCCAAGUGGUGUGCUAACAGUUUUUGAAAACUGAGUUGACCUUUGGGUUGUGGCUCAGAGCCGAGCUGGGCCAGGGUAUGGGAAGGAGGUGGGUGAACUAGCCGCUGGCCUGGGCAACCCGGCCAGGUGGCAAGUCUCACACUGUUGGCCGUUUGUGAUGACUUCUGCCAGGUUGAUGAUGUGAUGCUUUUUUUGGGGGGGGGGCUCUCAAGCAGAAAUGCAGCCUGGGGAGGCCUACGCAGUGAGUAGGGCUGCCUGGUGCUUCAGGGUGUAACAAGGUGUGAGAUUAUCUGGAAGUAGCUGUGAAGGCCGGGGAGUUCGAGAGACACUCUCAGUGCUCCCUCUGCACUAUCGCCCUACCACGUGGAGCGUCUUAUCUGCGGGAGGAAAUGAGAUGUGUCUCCCAACAUCCUUGGAAAUGUGAGGUCCUAGAGUUGACCGUUGGGGACAGGACAGAGGCUUUUUUACAAUUGCUGUUUCCUCUGUGUGACAAGGACAGUUAAAGGAUGGGAGGCAGGAGGACAGGCCCAACGCACACCUGCCCUCACCUGCCAGCACUACCAACAGCUGCCGGGACUCCCGCCCUGAGCUCUGGGUCCAGCUGCCUGCAACCUGGGAGGAGGUCAGAAUCCCAGGCCUAGAAGGAGCAUCCUGGGCAGCCGGCAGAAGGCACUUGGGGCCAGGCCCAGAGCCCCGAGCUCCCCUCGUGCCCCUGGGUCUCAGACCUUGCAUGGCUGCACCUCGCAGCCGGCCCACACAGGGUGCAGACCAAGGCCAACUUUCUCCCUGGCAUCCAGCUCUCUCCGGCUGGUCCGGGAGCACCUGGGGCCUGGGGAGUCUGGCUUCUCUGAAGCAGCACUUGGGCGGGGAGGGUCCCCAAAGCCCCCCCACGAUGCUGCCCCCUCUCACUGCACAGGGAGCCUGCACUCUGACAGAGCAGCAGGACAAACAAAGCUCAUUCUAGAAACCCCGGGCAUGCCCAGUUGGGGGCAGGGCAUGGCGGGACUGAAGCCAAGGGGCAGAGGGGGGCAGCUGGCAGAGCGCAUCUGCCAGCGAGGACCCCCCCACCAGCUUUCUGCUGACUGGUAACUGUUUGGUCUGGGUCAGAAGCCUUAAUCCCUUGAGCCCAAGCCGGGGCCAUGCACUCCUGGCCCCCGAGAGCAGGAGGGGUCCUGAUCAGCGUCAGGAGAGCCCCAGGGCCCAGACCUCCCCUCUCUCUCCACCCCCUGCCCUGCCAGCUGUGCCAAGCCCAGCCCCACUGCGUGUCCCCACCCAAGUGACCCGAGCAGCCAGUGGGAAGCAAAGCCCAGGACCCCUGGCUGAGGGGUGGGAGGAACUUGAGUUCAGCGGCCACAUCGUCCCCUCCUGGGCCAGGGGUCCCCUAGUGGGAAUGCCAGGGGCCCAGCUGUCUUGGUAAACUGAGGCUCCUGGAAGGUUUGGACCACUGUCCUCCCCAUCCACCCACCCAAGGCCACCCCUGCCCAAGCACCACAGUCUCGGAGCCCGGGGGGGGCUGUCAGCAAGGCCCCACUCUGGGCUUCUUUCUAGCCAAGAAAAAGGGCCUCUUUCUUCCCUUCCUUUCCUCCUUGUAGAGUAAUCGUCAGUGUCCCUAAUGCAGGCUUGAAGCAUCAGUGCCCACGUGACAGUGUGUUCUGCUUGUGGUUUCCUUGUGCACGUGUCGGCAUGAAAACACGUUUUGAGGGUAUUUUGGCGGCCGUAAGUGCCCCCAUGAGGCCAGGAGUGGACCUUGGGGAAACCAGCAUGUCUCAAGCACGUCACAGGGGAGUGAAGGAAACACAAGAAGGCAGGGCUGGGUGACUUGGAGUCUCCCUCCUCCCACAGCCUCCUCUCCCCUCCCCCUUUCUCUCCCAAGGUGUCCCCCAGCCCGAGAAUUAAGUGACUGGGUUGUGACCUCUGGCCCACGGGAUGGGGACACAAACCUCUGGGCCGGGCAGAAGGUGCUCUUUCUUCCUUUGAUGUCCCGGCCACUCUGUCCAGACGUCGCUGGGCCUCCAGGCAGCUCAUCCAUCUCGAGCUGCAGGCAGGCAGGAAAAGGCCAUCGGACCCCUGAUCCCAGCAUGAGUGACCAGAGGCAGUUUCCGGGACACGGUGAGGCCACCAAAGGUCGCUCGUCCUUCAAGAGCCUGUGCGGGGUCCUCUGAAAAGAAGCCAUAUGUCAAUACCCUGCCCCUUCCUUCUCUGUCUGCAGAGACCAUUGCCAAACAUUGUCAAGACCAGUUCCAGUUCUCAGAGCAAACUGUGCUUCUAGCAGAUUCUACCCCAACUGUGUUUGGAUGUCCAGUGGUUUUUAUUUCUGAUUUUUAAAAAAAAAUUCCAGGUGUGCCAUACCCACUUUCCUGCAGUGUUUUAAUAUUGUGUGGAAUUGUUAAUACCAAGUGAAUUAAUCCACAAUAAAAAGGCUCACUGUCCCUUUC